rnacentral:rRNA from 1 species
AUUGAACGCUGGCGGCAUGCUUUACACCUGCUAGUCGAACGGCAGCGGGGGCUUCCGCCUGCCGGCGAGUGGCGAACGGGUGAGUAAUACAUCGGAACGUAUCCUUGAGUGGGGAAUAACGCAUCGAAAGAUGUGCUAAUACCGCAUACCUCUAAGGAGAAAAGCAGGGGACAGAAAUGCCUUGCGCUGAAGGAGCGGCCGAUGUCUGAUUAGCUAGUUGGUGUGGUAAAUGCCUACCAAGGCGACGAUCAGUAGUUGGUCUGAGAGGACGACCAGCCACACUGGGACUGAGACACGGCCCAGACUCCUACGGGAGGCAGCAGUGGGGAAUUUUGGACAAUGGGCGAAAGCCUGAUCCAGCCAUGCCGCGUGAGUGAAGAAGGCCUUCGGGUUGUAAAGCUCUUUUAGUCGGAAAGAAAAGAUCGUAAAUAAUACUUGCGAUUAAUGACGGUACCGACAGAAAAAGCACCGGCUAACUACGUGCCAGCAGCCGCGGUAAUACGUAGGGUGCGAGCGUUAAUCGGAAUUACUGGGCGUAAAGGGUGCGCAGGCGGUUUUGUAAGUCAGAUGUGAAAUCCCCGGGCUUAACCUGGGAACUGCGCUUGUGACUGCAAGACUUGAGUGCGGCAGAGGGGGGUGGAAUUCCACGUGUAGCAGUGAAAUGCGUAGAGAUGUGGAGGAACACCGAUGGCGAAGGCAGCCCCCUGGGUCGACACUGACGCUCAUGCACGAAAGCGUGGGGAGCAAACAGGAUUAGAUACCCUGGUAGUCCACGCCCUAAACGAUGCGAACUAGGUGUUGGGGAAGGAGACUUCUUUAGUACCGUAGCUAACGCGUGAAGUUCGCCGCCUGGGGAGUACGGUCGCAAGAUUAAAACUCAAAGGAAUUGACGGGGACCCGCACAAGCGGUGGAUGAUGUGGUUUAAUUCGAUGCAACGCGAAAAACCUUACCUGGCCUUGACAUUGAUAGAAUCCCGCAGAGAUGCAGGAGUGCCCUUCGGGGAGCUUGAAAACAGGUGCUGCACGGCUGUCGUCAGCUCGUGUCGUGAGAUGUUGGGUUAAGUCCCGCAACGAGCGCAACCCUCGUCCUUAGUUGCCAGCAGGUUAAGCUGGGCACUCUAGGGAGACUGCCUUCGCAAGAAGGAGGAAGGUGAGGACGACGUCAAGUCAUCAUGGCCCUUACGGCCAGGGCUAUACACGUGCUACAAUGGGGCGUACAGAGUGUUGCAAUACCGCGAGGUGGAGCCAAUCACUUAAAGCGUCUCUCAGUUCGGAUUGUUCUCUGCAACUCGAGAGCAUGAAGUUGGAUUCGCUAGUAAUCGCGCAUCAGCCAUGGCGCGGUGAAUACGUUCCCGGGCCUUGUACACACCGCCCGUCACACCAUGGGAGUGGUUUUCACCAGAAGCAGGUAGCUUAACCGUAAGGAGGGCGCUUGCCACGGUGG